CAGAAAUGGGAUUGGGUUUUCAGGCUGUUCCAGAUCUUGCCUUUUAUUCAUGAAUAAGCGAUAAGAUUUAAGGUGGACAACACAAUCCAAUUAAAAUUGCAUCUCUGAAAUAUUAAGGAUUGAUCCAGAAAUAAUAUUAUAGGGCCAUGGGGUCUUAAAUCCAUGCUUAGCUCCUUUGGCAUUAUAUGGGAACCGUUGAGUCCCAGCCUGACUGAUCACCUGGGGAAAGAACCCGGUCAGCCCUGGGAGCACAGGUGAAGGCAAUUCACAUCUGAGACAGGAAGGGGUGGAGCCUGGCUGCGCCUCUCUUUGACCGCAUUGAAGAGUUGAUCCCCACUGGGGAAGGAUUCCUUUUUGGGAAUUGCUCCUUGGUGAAGCUUUCCCCUUUGAACCUCGAAUCUUCUGAUACAGCUGGGAACCUAGCCUGGAUUUUUCUACCCUAAGGAAGACACAAAACCUCCUGAACCUCCAACCUUGAAGCCUUCCCCCUGCCCCAGCCCGGCUCACAACGCUGCUGCUGUAUGCCCAUGAGCUGUACGUCCUUGGAAGGAAAAACCAGAAAGGGUUGGACCUGACUCUGCUCUUAACCACUGCUGCUCCCCUGCAGUCAACAGUCACAAAUCCUGCCCUGUAUCUGCACAACCCUUCAGGCACGGAUUGCAGCCUGAAGCUCCCUCUGACACGCUCUGAUCAGUCUGGCUGCAGUCCAGCAGGAAAAGCCAAGGGAUUUUGUUGUGAGAACUUUAGGUCAGCUUUCCCAAGUCCAUGGGAAAGGGCUGUCCCCUUGGGGCCAACGACGAGAGGCAUUCAGAUCUGCUCUCCCAGCAAGAGAUGGGGAGAGUUCAUUACAUAGCCUCAGCCUUUGCUUCCUUAAUGAUCCCAAACACAGUGGAACAGCUAUGGUCUCCCCUUGGCUUGCCCAGAUGCUCAGUCCACAUACACUACUAAGUGCUAGAAUGAGAAUUUGGCUUACAAGCAGGCAGCAUUCAGACCUGGGCCAGGAGGUACCAGAUGCAUAGAGUUCUAAAGCAAAUGCCAGCUUUCUGUCCAAAAAUGGUUCUGGUUCACAAAAUUAGGAACAGUUUCCAGUGAAUCUGAAGCAGAUGGAUGGGUUCACAGUAAAUUUAUGUCUUUGAGCCAUUUCAAGCAGUGGCACUUUAGGUUUUUUCUCCUUCCAGCUGCAUGUGGAGGCUGUGGUUGAGCUUUGUUGUGCCAGGUGCCAUCAAAC
ensembl:lncRNA